rnacentral:rRNA from 1 species
UGGGGAAUACUGCGCAAUGGGCGAAAGCCUGACGCAGCGACGCCGCGUGAGGGAUGAAGGUUUUCGGAUCGUAAACCUCUGUCAGAAGGGAAGAAACCGCACUGUGCUAAUCAGCAGUGCCUUGACGGUACCUUCAAAGGAAGCACCGGCUAACUCCGUGCCAGCAGCCGCGGUAAUACGGAGGGUGCAAGCGUUAAUCGGAAUUACUGGGCGUAAAGCGCACGUAGGCUGCUUUGUAAGUCAGGGGUGAAAUCCCACGGCUCAACCGUGGAACUGCCUUUGAUACUGCUUAGCUUGAAUCCGGGAGAGGGUGGCGGAAUUCCAGGUGUAGGAGUGAAAUCCGUAGAUAUCUGGAGGAACAUCAGUGGCGAAGGCGGCCACCUGGACCGGUAUUGACGCUGAGGUGCGAAAGCGUGGGGAGCAAACAGG